GGCGUAGGCGGGAAUGUAAGCCAGACGUGAAAGCCCGAGGCUCAACCUCGGAACAGCGUUUGGAACUACAUUUCUUGAGGAUAGGCGGAGAAAACGGAAUUCCACAUGUAGCGGUGAAAUGCGUAGAUAUGUGGAGGAACACCGGUGGCGAAGGCGGUUUUCUAGCUUAUUCCUGACGCUAAGGCCCGAAAGCUAGGGGAGCGAACAGGAUUAGAUACCCUGGUAGUCC
rnacentral:rRNA from 1 species